UACGUAGGUGGCAAGCGUUUGUCCGGAUUUACUGGGCGUAAAAGAGCGCGCAGGCGGUCGUUCAAGUCGCGUGUGAAAGCCCCCGGCUCAACUGGGGAGGGUCACUCGAUACUGUUUGACUCGAAGGCGGGAGAGGGAAGUGGAAUUCCCGGUGUAGUGGUGAAAUGCGUAGAUAUCGGGAGGAACACCAGUGGCGAAGGCGACUUCCUGGCCCGUUCUUGACGCUGAGGCGCGAAAGCUAGGGGAGCAAACGGG
rnacentral:rRNA from 1 species